rnacentral:tRNA from 1 species
GGAAAUGUGCCUGAGCACCAAAGGGCCACUAUGAUAAAGUGGACACAGAGGUAUACCAGUCCUCUCAUUUCCUU